rnacentral:misc_RNA from 1 species
AAUUCUCAACUCAAUCUUUUUGUUUUACGAAAAGGUUGAGCUUGGACUUGGAGGCUUGCCGGCUCUGUGAAGACUCGGCUCCUCUUGAAUGCAUGAGUGGGAACCUUUGUAGGGUGACCUUUGGUGUGAUAAUUGUCUACGCCGUUGGCCUGCCUUGCGAAAUUUAUAGGUACCUGCUUCCAACUGUCUUCUCGGAGACAAUUUCUAUGAAAC